GAUGAACGCUAGCGGGAGGCUUAAUACAUGCAAGUCGAACGGUAACAUUGGAGCUUGCUUCAGAUGACGAGUGGCGCACGGGUGAGUAACGCGUACACUACCUACCUUUUACUGGGGGACAUACACUGGAAACGGAGUAAAUACCCCAUAGUAUCCUUUGGGAUUAAAGUUUCGGCGGUAAAAGAUGGGUGUGCGUACUAUUAGCUAGUUGGUGAGGUAACGGCUCACCAAGGCGACGAUAGUUAGGGGGCGUGAGAGCGUGGCCCCCCACACGGGUACUGAGACACGGACCCGACUCCUACGGGAGGCAGCAGUAAGGAAUAUUGGACAAUGGGCGGAAGCCUGAUCCAGCCAUCCCGCGUGAAGGAUGAAGGCCCUCUGGGUUGUAAACUUCUUUUAGAUAGGAAGAAACGUCUUUAUUAAUAAGGGCCUGACGGUACUAUCAGAAUAAGCACCGGCUAACUCCG
rnacentral:rRNA from 1 species